CCUGCCGGACCUGACUGCUAUCGGAUUGAUACUAAGCCAUGCGAGUCUUUGUAGUAAUACAAGGCAUACGGCUCAGUAACACGUAGUCAACCUACCCUAUGGACGAGAAUAAUCUCGGGAAACUGAGCAUAAUUCUCGGUAGAUCAUAAUGCCUGGAAUGGUUUAUGGUUAAAAUGAUUCUUCGCCAUAGGAUGGGACUGCGGCCUAUCAGCUUGUUGGUGAGGUAAUGGCCCACCAAGGCGAUUACAGGUACGGGCUCUGAGAGGAGAAGCCCGGAGAUGGGUACUGAGACACGGACCCAGGCCCUAUGGGGCGCAGCAGGCGAGAAAACUUUGCAAUGUGCGAAAGCACGACAAGGUUAAUCCGAGUGAUUUCUGCUAAAGAAAUCUUUUACCAGUCGUAAAACCACUGGCGAAUAAGGGGUGGGCAAGUUCUGGUGUCAGCCGCCGCGGUAAAACCAGCACCUCAAGUGGUCAGGAUGAUUAUUGGGCCUAAAGCAUCCGUAGCCUGCUUUGUAAGUUUUCGGUUAAAUCCAUGUGCUCAACGCAUGGGCUGCCGAAAAUACUGCAUCGCUAGGGAGUGGGAGAGGUAGACGGUACUCGGUAGGAAGGGGUAAAAUCCUUUGAUCUAUCGAAGACCACCUGUGGCGAAGGCGGUCUACCAGAACACGUUCGACGGUGAGGGAUGAAAGCUGGGGGAGCAAACCGGAUUAGAUACCCGGGUAGUCCCAGCUGUAAACGAUGCAGACUCGAUGAUGCAUUGGCAUAAUAGCCAGUGCAGUGUCGCAGGGAAGCCGUUAAGUCUGCCGCCUGGGAAGUACGUACGCAAGUAUGAAACUUAA
rnacentral:rRNA from 1 species